rnacentral:rRNA from 1 species
UACGUAGGGGGCAAGCGUUGUCCGGAAUUAUUGGGCGUAAAGAGCGUGUAGGCGGUCCGGUAAGUCCGCUGUGAAAGUCCAGGGCUCAACCCUGGAAUGCCGGUGGAUACUGCCGGGCUAGAGUCCGGAAGAGGCGAGUGGAAUUCCUGGUGUAGCGGUGAAAUGCGCAGAUAUCAGGAGGAACAUCGAUGGCGAAGGCAGCUCGCUGGGACGUUACUGACGCUGAGACGCGAAAGCGUGGGGAGCAAACAGG